GAUGAACGCUGGCGGCGUGCUUAACACAUGCAAGUCGAACGAUGAAGCCCAGCUUGCUGGGUGGAUUAGUGGCGAACGGGUGAGUAACACGUGAGUAACCUGCCCUUAACUCUGGGAUAAGCCUGGGAAACUGGGCCUAAUACCGGAUAGGAGCGUCCACCGCAUGGUGGGUGUUGGAAAGCUUUCUCGGUUUUGGAUGGACUCGCGGCCUAUCAGCUUGUUGGUGAGGUAAUGGUACCCCAAGGCGACGACGGGUCGCCGGCCUGAGGGGGGGACCGGCCACACUGGGACUGAGGCACGGACCAGACUCCUACGGGAGGCAGCAGUGGAGAAUAUUGCACAAUGGUCGCAAGCCUGAUGCAGCGACGCCGCGUGAGGGAUGACGGCCUUCGGGUUGUAAACCGCUUUCAGUAGGGAAGAAGCGAAAGUGACGGUACCUGCAGAAGAAGCACCGGCUAACUACGUG
rnacentral:rRNA from 1 species